AUUGAACGCUGGCGGCAGGCUUAACACAUGCAAGUCGAGCGGAGAUGAGGUGCUUGCACCUUAUCUUAGCGGCGGACGGGUGAGUAAUGCUUGGGAAUCUGCCUAUUAGUGGGGGACAACAUUCCGAAAGGAAUGCUAAUACCGCAUACGCCCUACGGGGGAAAGCAGGGGAUCUUCGGACCUUGCGCUAAUAGAUGAGCCUAAGUCGGAUUAGCUAGUUGGUGGGGUAAAGGCCUACCAAGGCGACGAUCUGUAGCGGGUCUGAGAGGAUGAUCCGCCACACUGGGACUGAGACACGGCCCAGACUCCUAUGGGAGGCAGCGGUGGGGAAUAUUGGACAAUGGGGGGAACCCUGAUCUAGCCAUGCCGCGUGUGUGAAGAAGGCCUUAUGGUUGUAAAGCACUUUAAGCGAGGAGGAGGCUACUGAGACUAAUACUCUUGGAUAGUGGACGUUACUCGCAGAAUAAGCACCGGCUAACUCUGUGCCAGCCGCCGCCGUAAAAC
rnacentral:rRNA from 1 species